AACGAGGCCGACCUGCGGCUGAGUUACCUGCGGAAGGAUCAUUAAAAAGAGUGUGUACCCCUCUGUAAAAUGAGUGGGUUACCUCCCGUCCUUUGUUGACCUCUUAGGAGGUUAUUUUGAACUUUCUGCUUCGGUGGGGUUAAACCUACCGGAACACCCUCAAAUUCUUAUCAUUUAAAAAUUGUUCAGUCUGAUUUUUGUUAAUAAAAACAAAAAACUUUCAGCAAUGGAUCUCAGAUC
rnacentral:misc_RNA from 1 species